AAUCUGAGACAAUGGGGGCAACCCUGAUCUAGCCAUGCCGCGUGAGUGAUGAAGGCUNNNGGGUUNUCAAGCUCUUUCAGCUGNGACNAUAAUGACGGUAGCAGCAGAAGAAGUCCCGGCUAACUCCGUGCCAGCAGCCGCGGUAAUACGGAGGGGACUAGCGUUGUUCGGAAUUACUGGGCGUAAAGCGAACGUAGGCGGACCGGAAAGUUGAGGGUAAAAUCCCGGGGCUCAACCCCGGAACUGCCUUCAAAACUAUCGGUCUGGAGUUCGAGAGAGGUGAGUGGAAUUCCGAGUGUAGAGGUGAAAUUCGUAGAUAUUCGGAGGAACACCAGUGGCGAAGGCGACUCACUGGCUCGAUACUGACGCUGAGGUGCGAAAGCGUGGGGAGCAAACAG
rnacentral:rRNA from 1 species